ACCCCAUGGAGCUUCAAACCCAACUACACCCCUAGCUCUUAUAGCCCCACAACCCCCCUAGGCACCGUGUGCUUGGUUUUAGGUUGGGGCGACCGCGGAGUACAAUAAAACCUCCACAAUGAAUGGGAACACCCCCUUAUCUGAGGGCCACACCCCCUAAGAAUUAGAACACUAACAUAAAAUGAUCCAUUAUUUGAUCAAUGAACCAAGUUACCCUGGGGAUAACAGCGCAAUCCAUUUCAAGAGCCCCUAUCGACAAAUGGGUUUACGACCUCGAUGUUGGAUCAGGGUACCCCAGUGGUGCAGCAGCUACUAACGGUUCGUUUGUUCAACGAUUAAAACCCU
rnacentral:rRNA from 1 species